rnacentral:snRNA from 14 species
GGGCGUGAGGGUGAUCUGGCUGUGUUAUCUGCCACACGCUGAUCACCAGGUUGAUUUGACUCACACGGCUGGGUAGGUAGGUGUCCCCUGCUUUUUCCUCUUCUGUCCAUGUGUCCUUCCUAAAGCUUCUCUCCGUGGAAGACAACCUUCCCCAACAGGUGGCUACCCUUGCUUGGAAGUGUGCACAGAGUGCGGGUCUUUCUGCAGAAAUCUCCAAACAAGCUUUUAGGCCCCAACCUGGACCUUGAACAAAAACAGGAGUGUGGGGGCUGUGCCCCAGUACCAUACACU